rnacentral:rRNA from 1 species
UACGGAGGGUGCAAGCGUUAAUCGGAAUUACUGGGCGUAAAGCGUGCGUAGACGGUUAUUUAAGUCAGGUGUGAAAGCCCCGGGCUCAACCUGGGAAUUGCAUUUGAGACUGAAUAGCUAGGGUGCGGAAGAGGGAAGCGGAAUUUCCGGUGUAGCGGUGAAAUGCGUAGAUAUCGGAAGGAACACCAGUGGCGAAAGCGGCUUCCUGGUCCAGCACCGACGUUCAGGCACGAAAGCGUGGGGAGCAAACAGG